ACUCCUACGGGAGGCAGCAGUGAGGAAUAUUGGACAAUGGGCGGGAGCCUGAUCCAGCCAUGCCGCGUGCAGGAAGACGGCCCUAUGGGUUGUAAACUGCUUUUAUACGGGAAGAAACACUCCCUCGUGAGGGAGCUUGACGGUACCGUAAGAAUAAGGAUCGGCUAACUCCGUGCCAGCAGCCGCGGUAAUACGGAGGAUCCAAGCGUUAUCCGGAAUCAUUGGGUUUAAAGGGUCCGUAGGCGGGACAAUAAGUCAGCGGUGAAAGUCUGUGGCUCAACCAUAGAAUUGCCAUUGAUACUGUUGUUCUUGAGUGUUUAUGAAGUGGUUGGAAUAUGUAGUGUAGCGGUGAAAUGCAUAGAUAUUACAUAGAACACCGAUUGCGAAGGCAGAUCACUAAUAAAAUACUGACGCUGAUGGACGAAAGCGUAGGUAGCGAACAGGAUUAGAUACCCUGGUAGUCUACGCCGUAAACGAUGGUUACUAGCUGUUCGGUCGUAAGACUGAGUGGCUAAGCGAAAGUGAUAAGUAACCCACCUGGGGAGUACGUUCGCAAGAAUGAAACUCAAAGGAAUUGACGGGGGCCCGCACAAGCGGUGGAGCAUGUGGUUUAAUUCGAUGAUACGCGAGGAACCUUACCAGGGCUUAAAUGUAGUUUGACC
rnacentral:rRNA from 1 species